GACGAACGCUGGCGGCGUGCCUAACACAUGCAAGUCGAACGGAAAGGCCCUGCUUUUGCGGGGUGCUCGAGUGGCGCAGGGGUGUGAAACACGUGAGUAUCCCGCCCUUGACUGUGUGAUAUCUUCAGGAGACCGCGGCUAAUACCGGAUAGGAGAUCCUGAAGCAUGGGGGUCGUUGGAAAGUUUCGGCGGUGGUGGCUCGACGUGCGGCUUACCAGCUGGUUGGGUGGGUAGUUGCUUACCAAGGCUUCGACGGGUAGCCGGCCUGAGAGAGUGAACGGCGACAUUGGGACUACGAUACGCAGCAGACGCCUACGGGAGGCAGUAGUCGGGAGUAUUGCACAAUGAGGGGACGCCUGAUGCGACAGCGCCGCGUGCGGGAUGACGGCCUUCGGGUUAUAAACCGCUUUCGCCUGUGACGAAGCGUGAGUGACGGUAAUGGGUAAAGAAGCACCGGCUAACUACGUG
rnacentral:rRNA from 1 species